rnacentral:rRNA from 1 species
AGUUUGAUUCUGGCUCAGAUUGAACGCUGGCGGGAUGCUUUACACAUGCAAGUCGAACGGCAGCACGGACUUCGGUCUGGUGGCGAGUGGCGAACGGGUGAGUAAUGUAUCGGAACGUGCCUAGUAGCGGGGAUAACUACGCGAAAGCGUAGCUAAUACCGCAUAAUAUUCGGGAAAGCGGGGACCUUCGGGCCUCGCACUAUUAGAGCGCCGAUAUCAGAUUAGCUACAGGGGGUAAUUUGUCACUCAAGGCGAUGAUCCGUAGCUGGUUUGAGAGGACGACCAGCCACUGUAUUCGAGAUUACGGCCCAGACUCUACGGGAGGCAGUGGGGAAUUUUGGACAAUGGGGGAAACCCUGAUCCAGCCAUCCCGCGUGUGCGAUGGAAGGCCCUCGGGUUGUAAAGCACUUUUGGCAGGAAAGAAACGGCACGGGAUAAUACCCCUAAAAAAGUAACUGACGGUACCUGCAGAAUAAGCACCGGCUAACUACGUGCCACAAGCUGCACACGUAGGGUGCAAGCGUUAAUCGGAAUUACUGGGCGGAAGCGUGCGCAGGCGGUUCGGAAAGAAAGAUGAAAUCCCAGAGCUUAACUUUGGAACUGCAUUUUUAACUACCGAGCUAGAAUGUGUCAGAGGGAGGGAAUUCUGCGUAGUGCGGAAUGAUAUGAGAGAACACCGAUGGCGAAGGCAGCCUCCUGGGAUAACACUGACGCUCAUGCACGAAAGCGUGGGGAGCAAACAGGAUUAGAUACUCCUGGUAGUCCACGCCCUAAACGAUGUCAACUAGCUGUUGGGGGCCUUCGGGCUCCUUGUAGCGCAGCUAACGCGUGAAGUUGACCGCCUGGGGGAGUACGGUCGCAAGAUUAAAACUCAAAAGGAAUUGACGGGGACUCGCACAAGCGGUGGAUGAUGUGGAUUAAUUCGAUGCAACGCGAAAAACCUGCUCACCCUUGACAUGUCUGGAAUCCCGAAGAGAUUUGGAGUGCUCGCAAGAGAACCAAACACAGGUGCUGCAUGGUUGUCGUCAGCUCGUGUCGUGAGAUGUUGGGUUAAGUCCCGCAACGAGCGCAACCCUUUGUCAUUAGUUGCUACGAAAGGGCACUCAAUGAGACCGCCGGUACAAAACCGGAGGAAGGUGGGGAUGACGUCAAGUCCUCAUGGCCCUUAUGGGGUAGGGCUUUGGGCCACGUCAUACAAUGGUCGGGACAGAGGGUCGCCAACCCGCGAGGGGGGAGCCAAUCCCAGAAACCCGAUCGUAGCGUCCGGAUCGCAGUCUGCAACUCGACUGCGUGAAGUCGGAAUCGCUAGUAAUCGCGGAUCAGCAUGUCGCGGUGAAUACGUUCCCGGGUCUGUACACCGCCCGUCACACCAUGGGAGUGGGUUUUACCAGCGGUUAGCCUAACCUGGGCGGGGAGGGCGAUUACCACGGUAGGAUUCAUGACUGGGGUAGUUCGUAACAAGGUAG